ACCUGUUCCCAUUCCGAAUACAGAAGUUAAGCCUCUUCGCGCCUAUGGUACUGCCGGGCUUCCCGGCGGGAGAGCGGGUCGUCGCCGGAA
rnacentral:rRNA from 1 species